rnacentral:rRNA from 1 species
UACGAAGGGGGGCUAGCGUUGCUCGGAAUCACUGGGCGUAAAGGGUGCGUAGGCGGGUUUUUAAGUCAGGGGUGAAAUCCUGGAGCUCAACUCCAGAACUGCCUUUGAUACUGAAGAUCUUGAGUUCGGGAGAGGUGAGUGGAACUGCGAGUGUAGAGGUGAAAUUCGUAGAUAUUCGCAAGAACACCAGUGGCGAAGGCGGCUCACUGGCCCGAUACUGACGCUGAGGCACGAAAAGCGUGGGGGAGCAAACAGG